UACGGAGGGGGCUAGCGUUGUUCGGAAUUACUGGGCGUAAAGCGCACGUAGGCGGCUUUGUAAGUUAGAGGUGAAAGCCCAGGGCUCAACCCUGGAAUUGCCUUUAAGACUACAUCGCUUGAACAUCGGAGAGGUAAGUGGAAUUCCGAGUGUAGAGGUGAAAUUCGUAGAUAUUCGGAAGAACACCAGUGGCGAAGGCGACUUACUGGACGAUUGUUGACGCUGAGGUGCGAAAGCGUGGGGAGCAAACAGG
rnacentral:rRNA from 1 species